UCUGAAAAUCAUGUGGUGUCUGUUCUAUGAGAGGACAUUGGGUAUGACCGCAAAGCACUUUGUCUCUACUUCUGAGAGAUACUUUUAAAGUGGUCACCUUUUUUGAUUCUUUUGAAACAUUCAUCAGUCAUUUCACUGACUACUGAGGAGUGUUCAGUAAAUACUCUGUCAUAUUUUUAUCUGAAAGUUAAGAGCAGAACACAUUGUGGCGAGACUGUAGCCAGAAAUAAAUCAGCAUUUGAGUUUAACUUUGAAAAAUGAAGAGUCCUUUUUUCUACCUAAAAACAGUUUUGGUGGUUACUGACUGAAUUCAAAUUACAUUGAAUUGUGGGUCAAAGUUAAGGACAAAUGGAGAGCUUUUGUGCAUCAAGUUUCUAAUGCCAAUACAAAUUCAUCUUCCAAUAUUACAUGCACCCAAAAUAACUCUGGCCCCAGUGAAAGAGUGCAGUCGAUUCUUGCCCGAGUCUCAUGUAUCCAUCUGUAUGGUGUAGGAUGAGAGCAGAAUUCUGACUGUACUACGGGAAAUGUGCAACCUUUUGAUAAGUCUCUCGAGAGUCUCUUCACUGUGCACAUAUCAUCUAAGAUUUUACUGUCAAUUAUGAACAUAUAUAUUUUUCCCUCUCCAGUUGAUUGGGCUUUCUAAUAGCACACAGCUUGUGUGUAAUCGGCUCCAUUAAGUCCAUCAUCUACGUGUGCAAAUAAGCCCACAGAAUGGCAGUGGAAAAUUAGUGGUGACAGUGAAAGGGUUUCAGAGACUGAGGAUGGAUGUCUGUUUCAGUGCGUUGGAAGAAAAACACUGCAUAUUCUACCCAUCAUUUAUUCAUCUGGCAUGACAUGAUCAGCCAUCCCUGCAAAGUGGGAAUUCAGAAAUCUGCAGAUUGACUUAUUGUGUAAAAUGUAUAUACAGUAUACACGUCUAUAUAUAAAUGUCUUUGUUUUCAUAUAGGCUAUACUGAAAUCAGUUUUUUUUUUUUUAAACCAUUCAUUUUCCUCCAAUUUGUAAUGUCAAAGCCUAUUAUAUGUUUCAGUGUUCUGAUUCAGUCUGGGAGAGUGUGGACAAGCACACUCUGCUGUAGCCACUUGUUUUUACACUGCAGUCCACCAGCUGAGCUGCGUAGUAACUGCGUCGCAUUUUAUGCACAUUUGCAUACCAUGCCGUUGGGGCAAAUCCCCACACCAUAACCCAGGGUACAGCCAGUUGAGCCGGCAGCACUGACUGAAAACAAUACUUUAGAAGUGCAGUCAGCGCAGAGACACCUCGGACUGCUUUGAGAUGUAUUCUUUGUCUGAGUCUACAGAUACCAUCUGCAGCAGUGGAUGUUUUGUUGUUUCAAAAUAUGUAUUUCUGCCAAUAACUCACUCCUUCCUCUCUCAGACAUGCAGAAAAUCAGAGGUGAGAUAAUUCCAGGUACAGUUUGUCAGGGGAUUGGCUUUGGGCUAACUGUGCUUUUGCAGAAUUAUUUUCAGUCACGGUGUUGUUUGAUAAAAGCAGCCAGGGUUUGCAUUUGUUGUGUAUUUUGCCCUCACAAACUGCUACAGCACAGUGGGCAAAGCCCCAGGCUGGGAAGACAGAGAUUGCCAGUUCAAAUCCUUGGUGAAGCACUGCCUUGAGAAAGGAACCUGACUGAAAUUUCUCAGGCGCCCCAUUUCUCACCCUCAAGGAGCUCCUUUGGCCCCACUUUAAGAGGGAGAGAAGGCUACAGCAGGAAUGGAACCAGGGAACAACUGCUGGAAAGGCUCAGAAAAUCCCAGUCGGACUAAGGUGACCUCAUUGAGCAGUGAAGCUGCCAUUCUCCAGUGGAAACGCUCCACAGUUUUGCCGUGCUGCUCACCUUCAUGGACAAUUAGCCCUCGGAUCACUGCAGAGAGAGUCUGAGGAGCGCUCAUUUAGAGCAGGCGGGUGGCGGAAAACAAACAAAAAGCACUCAUUUGAAUAGCACAAAUAUAUUCUUUGUCACCUUGACUAAACUUUGAGGCACAGUUCAGGACAAAAAUAGAUAAAUCUGCUUUGAUUUUGCGCUUAAUGUGCUUCCUUUUAUUUCUCCCACCCUUAAGUACUGCUUCUGUACGUCCUCGGGUAUUACAUUACAAACAAAAAUAUAUUAAUGAACAGCAGUCGUGUCUAAUAAGAUGUUAUGUAAAAGUAUUGUCAUAAACAUGCAGCCUUUUGGGGGUUGACAGAUAUUCAUGUAAAAAAACAACUUGUAAGGAAAAACAUUUAAUGGGUGUUUCAUAAUGUUCAUCAUGUUCAAAAUACAUGUUUUGCUUAUUUUUAUUUAUUUAAAUGUACACUCCAAUCUACAUCUAUACUAUCGUGAUUUUCAGAUGGUUAAAUAUUUAAAAAAUGUUAUUAUUGCCAUCACAUAUGGCAGAUACAAUAAAAUCACAGAUAAACUGCACAUAAGUGAAUAGCGAUAUAUUGCCACGUAUGUCUUCUGUGAAGUUAUCCUGGCAAUUAUAGGAUCAAUGAUAAUUGCAUAGCUGUUCAUAAAUCAGUUCUAAUAGCUUUUGGUAUGGUAAAAAUAUAGCCAAGCACAAACUCAUUGUUUCUAAAAACACUUACAUCGCAUGCAUUUAGUCAUGAGUCGAUGUGUAAUUACAAAAUGGACGGCCUGUUAAAGGAAUAUUUCUAUUUACUGCAAUAUUCUUAAUGUUUGCAAGGGAAUUCCGUUGGAAAUACUGGGAGUCAGGCAGAGAGACAUUGGGUCUGAUGUAAUUGUAUAAUAUAUAAUCAGCAUAAAAUAAAGAAUGGUUCCCUAAAAUAAAGAAUAGAUGCCUUUCUGAUGUGGUCUCAAAUAUGG